rnacentral:lncRNA from 1 species
GGGACAAUCAUUAAGGCAAGUUUAUUUGGAAAGAAUCUACUUACGGAAAUCAAGAUUCUGAUUGUAUGGACGACCAGGAUCAUUAGGCUUUCAUCUCAAUCUUCAAACGGCUCGAGAUCUUCUUAAUUGAUUAUGUCCAACGGGUUGAUUGGAAGAAUUUCUCUGGAAAGUGCCAAUGGUCGAAAAGACAUAGAGGAGUAUUUAAGGAG